UCCUCAGUGGUCUAGUGGUUAAGACUCUGCACUUCCAAUGCAGAAGGCACGGGUUCCAUGCCUGGUUGGGGAA
rfam:Ovis aries breed Texel chromosome 9, whole genome shotgun sequence.